ACUUUCGGUCGCCAGUGGCGGGGUAUAGGCUGCCUGCUGCCCUUGGUCCGUGCGCCCGUUGUCGUGUGUGGACAACCAGCAAGGCCACAGCGUGGGGACUGUAGGAAGGAAAAAUUAAGCAUAUGAUGCCUGUUGGGGCUUCAAGACAAUACAAAAAAAAGUUGUGUAAUGAUAGCCCAGAAAAAUCUCCCUUUUGACCUCUCUUGUCAAAUGAACUUCAAAUCCAAGCAAAUGUUAGAGACACAAGAUAAGAAGAAAUACC